rnacentral:rRNA from 1 species
UACGAAGGGGGCUAGCGUUGCUCGGAAUCACUGGGCGUAAAGCGCACGUAGGCGGCUUUCUAAGUCAGGGGUGAAAUCCUGGAGCUCAACUCCAGAACUGCCUUAGAUACUGGAGAGCUUGAGUCCGGGAGAGGUGAGUGGAACUCCGAGUGUAGAGGUGAAAUUCGUAGAUAUUCGGAAGAACACCAGUGGCGAAGGCGGCUCACUGGCCCGGUACUGACGCUGAGGUGCGAAAGCGUGGGGAGCAAACAGG